AUAGGAAACUGGACGUGAUGUGGAAUUAGAUCCUUCUCCCGUGAAGCCACCCAACACUUAUUACAAAUAUAGCAGCAAUGAAUAGGCCACAAAAUGGCUCCACUCACUUUUACCAAUGAAAAGCAAAUGGGGCAGAGCCGCGAGGGGCGGCUGGGGGUCUCCUUCCUCCCCGUGAAGCCGUGAGGAUGCUGGCGCUGGGAGGAGUGGCGGCAGCCUGACACCGAGAGGGCUUUUGUUGAGACGAGACUCGCGGUGUUCCCACUUAACUAUGACAGAUGACGAUGGAGAGGCCGCCCGCCACGCUGCCCCGCAGUGACCCGCGCAAUGCGGACAGCACGAGCGAGCCGGAGCCGGAGCCGGAGCAGGA